rnacentral:rRNA from 1 species
AGUGAACGCUGGCGGUAGGCCUAACACAUGCAAGUCGAACGGCAGCACAGUAAGAGCUUGCUCUUACGGGUGGCGAGUGGCGGACGGGUGAGGAAUACAUCGGAAUCUACUUUUUCGUGGGGGAUAACGUAGGGAAACUUACGCUAAUACCGCAUACGACCUACGGGUGAAAGCAGGGGAUCUUCGGACCUUGCGCGAUUGAAUGAGCCGAUGUCGGAUUAGCUAGUUGGCGGGGUAAAGGCCCACCAAGGCGACGAUCCGUAGCUGGUCUGAGAGGAUGAUCAGACAAACUGGAACUGAGAAACGGUCCAGACUCCUACGGGAGGCAGCAGUGGGGAAUAUUGGACAAUGGGCGCAAGCCUGAUCCAGCCAUACCGCGUGGGUGAAGAAGGCCUUCGGGUUGUAAAGCCCUUUUGUUGGGAAAGAAAAGCAGCAGGUUAAUACCCCGCUGUUCUGACGGUACCCAAAGAAUAAGCACCGGCUAACUUCGUG